GAAGCAGGCCAGACAGUCGCUGGUCCACGCCGCAAGGUCGUGGACGGGAGGAAGGUCCGGACUCCACAGAGCGGGGUGACGGUUAACGGCCGUCCGCUGAAAGCCGUCUGGCGCAAGCCAGCGGUAUAAGGCGAGGAAUAGGGCCACAGAGACGAGCGUAUUCAGUUACGGUGAAACGCGGUAACCUCCACCUGGAGCAAUUCCAAAUAGGCACGCGUUGAUGUUGCUCGCGGAGCGUGCGGGUAGGAAGCUUGAGCGCUGGAGUAAUCCAGCGCCUAGAGGAAUGGCUGUCCAUGCGCCGCCGCAAGGUGGCGUUACACAGAAUCCGGCCUAUCGGCCUGCUUUACUU
rfam:Massilia timonae CCTG 45783 genomic scaffold supercont1.3, whole genome shotgun sequence.